GGCAUUUCUCUGUUCCCCUCUUGGAUCCUUUUCUUCCCUAUUGAUUUGCAUUGAUGUUUUUUUGUCUACUUUCUUCUUGGUCGGCAUUGUCAAUCGUAAUUGGGCUAUCCUGAAAAGUUCUCUUGCUGCCGCAAGCAAUGUAUGUUUCUGUGUCAAACGAGAGUAUACAAAUCAGUGUAAAAGCAAUAUAGUCCCAGAUUGAUCAAGUAUUAAAAGGAAAUUAAAACAGAAAACUACUGAUAAGGAAAUGGUGUAAAUUGUGCCUCUGGAGCAGAAGGUUUUAUGAAUACAAUAGAGCAACAUGGCCUCAAGGUUGAUAAGUGUCAAGCAGAAAAUGCAUGAAGAUAUGCAAAUUAAAGUUAUUUUAGCAAAAAAAAAAAACUAGCUAUUAUAUUAAAUUCCACAUACAAUAGUAGCAAGGGCCUAAAAUAGCAGGACUUACCAUGAGGAUCGCUGGCAUUGUCAAGGAUGAAUGAAGGAACAAACGGUUUCUUCAAUCUAUCAUUAUUCCCUUGUUGUGUCACGCUAGUUCCUCACUUCAGCCUCAACUGCGAACAAGUGUUCCCGAAACCCG
rnacentral:lncRNA from 1 species